CCUACGGGAGGCAGCAGUGAGGAAUAUUGGUCAAUGGGCGAGAGCCUAAACCAGCCAAGUCGCGUGAGGGAAGACGGUCCUAUGGAUUGUAAACUUCUUUUGCAGGGGAGCAAAAAGCGGCACGUGUACCGCAUCGAGUGUACCCUAAGAAAAAGCAUCGGCUAACUCCGUGCCAGCAGCCGCGGUAAUACGGAGGAUCCGAGCGUUAUCCGGAUUUAUUGGGUUUAAAGGGAGCGCAGGUGGGGAGUUAAGUCAGCGGUCAACGUUCGGGGCUCAACCCCGAAAUUGCGUUGAA
rnacentral:rRNA from 1 species